rnacentral:rRNA from 1 species
GAUGAACGCUGGCGGCGUGCCUAAUACAUGCAAGUCGAGCGAUCAGACGAGGAGCUUGCUCCUCUGACGUUAGCGGCGGACGGGUGAGUAACACGUGGAUAACCUACCUAUAAGACUGGGAUAACUUCGGGAAACCGUAGCUAAUACCGGAUAAUAUUUUGAACCGCAUGGUUCAUUAGUGAAAGACGGUAUUGCUGUCACUUAUAGAUGGAUCAGCGCCUCAUUAGCUAGUUGGUAAGGUAAGGGCUUACCAAGGCGCCGAUGCGUAGCCGACCUGAGAGGGUGAUCGGCCACACUGGAACUGAGACACGGUCCAGACUCCUCCGGGAGGAAGCAGUAGGGAAUCUUCCGCAAUGGGCGAAAGCCUGACGGAGCACCGCCGCGUGAGUGAUGAAGGUUUUCGGAUCGUAAACUUCGGUUAUUAGGGAAGACCAAAUGUGUAAGUAAAUAUGCACACCUUGACGGUACCUAAUCAGAAAGCCACGGCUAACUACGUG